AUUGAACGCUGGCGGCAUGCUUUACACAUGCAAGUCGAACGGUAACAGGUUAAGCUGACGAGUGGCGAACGGGUGAGUAAUGCAUCGGAACGUGCCCGAUCGUGGGGGAUAACGCAGCGAAAGCUGCGCUAAUACCGCAUACGAUCUGAGGAUGAAAGCGGGGGACCGUAAGGCCUCGCGCGAUCGGAGCGGCCGAUGUCAGAUUAGGUAGUUGGUGGGGUAAAGGCCCACCAAGCCGACGAUCUGUAGCUGGUCUGAGAGGACGACCAGCCACACUGGGACUGAGACACGGCCCAGACUCCUACGGGAGGCAGCAGUGGGGAAUUUUGGACAAUGGGCGAAAGCCUGAUCCAGCAAUGCCGCGUGUGUGAAGAAGGCCUUCGGGUUGUAAAGCACUUUUGUCCGGAAAGAAAUGGCUCUGGUUAAUACCUGGGGUCGAUGACGGUACCGGAAGAAUAAGGACCGGCUAACUACGUGCCAGCCGCCGCGGUAA
rnacentral:rRNA from 1 species